rnacentral:rRNA from 1 species
UACGGAGGGUGCGAGCGUUGUCCGGAAUCACUGGGCGUAAAGGGCGCGUAGGCGGUCUGCUAAGCGUGUGGUGAAAGCUCGGGGCUCAACCCCGAGUCUGCCAUGCGAACUGGUGGACUUGAGCACUGUAGAGGCAGGUGGAAUUCCGGGUGUAGCGGUGGAAUGCGUAGAGAUCCGGAAGAACACCAGUGGCGAAGGCGGUCUGCUGGGCAGUUGCUGACGCUAAAGCGCGACAGCGUGGGGAGCAAACAGG